rnacentral:rRNA from 1 species
UGGGGAAUUUUGGACAAUGGGCGAAAGCCUGAUCCAGCAAUGCCGCGUGUGUGAAGAAGGCCUUCGGGUUGUAAAGCACUUUUGUCCGGAAAGAAAUCCUUGGCUCUAAUACAGUCGGGGGAUGACGGUACCGGAAGAAUAAGCACCGGCUAACUACGUGCCAGCAGCCGCGGUAAUACGUAGGGUGCAAGCGUUAAUCGGAAUUACUGGGCGUAAAGCGUGCGCAGGCGGUUUGCUAAGACCGAUGUGAAAUCCCCGGGCUCAACCUGGGAACUGCAUUGGUGACUGGCAGGCUAGAGUAUGGCAGAGGGGGGUAGAAUUCCACGUGUAGCAGUGAAAUGCGUAGAGAUGUGGAGGAAUACCGAUGGCGAAGGCAGCCCCCUGGGCCAAUACUGACGCUCAUGCACGAAAGCGUGGGGAGCAAAGCAGGAUUAGAUACCCUGGUAGUCCACGCCCUAAACGAUGUCAACUAGUUGUUGGGGAUUCAUUUCCUUAGUAACGUAGCUAACGCGUGAAGUUGACCGCCUGGGGA